GGAAUCUUGGACAAUGGGGGCAACCCUGAUCCAGCCAUGCCGCGUGAGCGAUGAAGGCCCUAGGGUUGUAAAGCUCUUUCACCCGUGAAGAUAAUGACGGUAGCGGGAGAAGAAGCCCCGGCUAACUCCGUGCCAGCAGCCGCGGUAAUACGGAGGGGGCUAGCGUUGUUCGGAAUUACUGGGCGUAAAGCGCGUGUAGGCGGCCAGGUAAGUCGGAUGUGAAAGCCCGGGGCCCAACCCCGGAACUGCACCCGAUACUGCCUGGCUGGAGUCCCGGAGAGGAUGGCGGAAUUUCCGGUGUAGAGGUGAAAUUCGUAGAUAUCGGAAGGAACACCAGUGGCGAAGGCGGCCAUCUGGACGGUGACUGACGCUGAGACGCGAAAGCGUGGGGAGCAAAC
rnacentral:rRNA from 1 species